GAUGAACGCUGGCGGCGUGCCUAAUACAUGCAAGUCGAACGAAAAGAUCAGGACUUUGCGCCUCUGACGUUAGCGGCGGACGGGAGCGUCACAUGGGUAUACCCUACCUCUCAGACUGGGAUGACUUCGGGAAACCGUCUCUUAUACCGGAUGAUAUAUUGAACCGGGUGGGUCAAUAGUUAAAUACGGUUUUGCUGUCACUUAUAGCUGGAUCCGCGCCGCAUUAGCUAGUUGGUAAGGUAACGGCUUACCAAGGCAACGAUGGGUAGCCGACCUGAGAGGGGGGUCGCCUACAUGGGAAGGGAGACAGGGACCAGACUCCUGCGGGAGGCAGCAGUAGGGAAUCGUCCGCAAUGGGGGAGAGCCUGACGGGGGAAGGCGGCGUGAGUGAUGAAGGUGCUCGGAUCGGAAAGCUCUGUUAUUAGUGGAGAACUAAUGUGUAAGUACCCGUGCACGUCUUGACGGUACCUGGAGAAAAAGCCCCGGCUAACUACGUG
rnacentral:rRNA from 1 species